UGUUGAAGGAAUUGUUCUGAAUUGGUUCCAUAUAAACUGAAUUGAAUUAAAAGUUAUUCAUAGAAACACUAAAGUUAUGUGUAAAGUGUUUACUGGGGUCCCCAUACACUUCACAGGAGUCGCCCCCUGUUGGCUGAUAUAAAUAAUGCUGUCUUAAACCACAUGGGCUUCUUGAAGCUAUGCCCAUCUUUUAUAUACAGUCUCUGAUUUGGGUCCAUGAUUAUUUAAGGCGCUGGUUUUAUCGAGUAUCUGUUUCCAAUCAACGACAACAUAAAAACGUCCCCAUUUAAAUGUUAACAUUGAAACAUGUUCAUAGACUAUAAAGAGCAUCUGUUACCUGCUACCCACAAAAAAGUUUGUGUUUGUGGUUGUAAAGCUGCGUGGUUACAAGCAGCAGGAAGAACAGGCGUGUUCACAGAGGCCGAGUUCCUGUUCUCAGAUCACACAGGAACUAUUCAGACACUUCCCACUGUGUCAGGAUGAAGGUGAAGAUCUUCUGCUGCCUGUUAGCCUGCACUCUGGGCUCUAAUGUCACUGCUGGUUUAACCCAUGAAGUAUUUAAGGAGGGGACACAGGUCAGUCUGCGCUGUCCUCACUCUGUGGAGGGUAAAGUGAGGUGGAGCAGAGAGAGUGGAGGAAACAGAACUGACAUACUUACAGCUGAUGGAGACGGAAAUAUAAAACACAUCAAUGAUCCACAGAAACGAUACAGUUCACUGGCUGAUCGAUCUCUGAUCAUCGUCAGAGCUUCUGUCUCAGACUCUGGCAGAUACUUCUGUAACCAUGAAGCAGCUGUGGAGCUGACAGUGAUCCCAUCAGGAACUAAAAUAGUGAGUGUUGCAGAGAGGAGCAGCAUCACUCUGAACUGUUCUCAUCAUGUUGGAGGAUCAGCUGUUCCCACAUGGAGCAGAGACUCUGGAGAAAUAAAUGAAGGAAGGAUUUCUGUUUCCACUGAGGACAAAACAUUAAGUAUAAGAGAAGCUGAGCCUGCUGACUCUGGACUGUACAACUGUGAUGGAAAACCAGCUGUUUAUCUGAAUGUGACCAAAGGACAGAGAUCUGACAGAGAAAAUAAGACAACAACAACAACACCAACAACAACAACAACAACACCAACUACUGCUACAACUCAUAAAGCAUCAGUAACACCUGCAUCACCCACUGAGGCUCCAUCAGCUUUUCCAGUGCAGAGUUUCCUGAUUGGAACUGGUCUUCUUCUUCUCUCCACCCUCAUCCUCAUCACUGUCUACUUCAUUUGGAGAUGCAGGUCCAACAGACGAGGUGAGUAA
rnacentral:lncRNA from 1 species